AGGGUUUGAUCAUGGCUCAGGACGAACGCUGGCGGCAUGCCUAACACAUGCAAGUCGAACGAGAAAGUUCCUUCGGGAGCAAUUAAAGUGGCGCACGGGUGAGUAACGCGUAGACAAUCUGCCCUUCAGUCUGGGACAACUUUUCGAAAGGAGAGCUAAUACCGGAUAACAAUGCAUGACACAAGUUGUAUAUUUGAAAGCUUUAUGUGCUGAAGGAGGGGUCUGCGUCCCAUUAGCUAGUUGGUAAGGUAAAGGCUUACCAAGGCAACGAUGGGUAGCGGGUUUGAGAGGACGAUCCGCCACACUGGAACUGAGACACGGUCCAGACUCCUACGGGAGGCAGCAGUGGGGAAUAUUGCACAAUGGAGGAAACUCUGAUGCAGCAAUGUCGCGUGAGUGAAGAAGGCCCUUGGGUCGUAAAGCUCUUUUAUGGGGGAAGAUGAUGACGGUACCCCAAGAAUAAGCACCGGCUAACUAUGUGCCAGCAGCCGCGGUAAUACAUAGGGUGCGAGCGUUGUUCGGAAUUACUGGGCGUAAAGGGCGCGCAGGCGGAAUAGUAAGUCGGAGGUGAAAGCCCGGGGCUCAACCCCGGAGGGUCUUUCGAAACUACUAAUCUAGAGAGGGUCAGGGGCCGGCAGAAUUCCUGGUGUA
rnacentral:rRNA from 1 species